rnacentral:rRNA from 1 species
CCUACGGGAGGCAGCAGUGAGGAAUAUUGGUCAAUGGCCGGAAGGCUGAACCAGCCAUGCCGCGUGAAGGUCAGUGCCCUAUGGGCGUUAAACUUCUUUUGUGCGGGAGCAAUAAUGGUCACGUGUGGCCAGACGAGAGUACCGUACGAAUAAGCAUCGGCUAACUCCGUGCCAGCAGCCGCGGUAAUACGGGGGAUGCAAGCGUUAUCCGGAUUUAUUGGGUUUAAAGGGUGCAUAGGCUGUGAGGUAAGUCAGCGGGGAAAUGCCCCCGCUCAACGGGGUGAAGUGCAAUUGAUACUGCCUUGCUGGAAUGCGGAUGCGGUGGGAGGAAUGUGUGGUGUAGCGGUGAAAUGCAUAGAUAUCACACAGAACACCGAUUGCGAAGGCAUCUCACGAAUCCGCGAUUGACGCUGAUGCACGAAAGCGUGGGUAUCAAACAGGAUUAGAUACCCUAGUAGUC